CCUACGGGUGGCAGCAGUGAGGAAUAUUGGUCAAUGGACGCAAGUCUGAACCAGCCAAGUAGCGUGCAGGAUGACGGCCCUCCGCGUUGUAAACUGCUUUUAGUUGGGAAUAAAAGGGGGCUCGUGAGCCCCGUAUUGUAUGUACCAUCAGAAAAAGGACCGGCUAAUUCCGUGCCAGCAGCCGCGGUAAUACGGAAGGUCCGGGCGUUAUCCGGAUUUUUUGGGUUUAAAGGGAGCGUAGGCCGGCUUUUAAGUCAGCUGGGAAAUUCCGCGGCUCAACCGUGGAAUUGCAGUUGAAACUGGGGGCCUUGAGUGCGCACGGGGAUGCCGGAAUUCAUGGUGUAGCGGUGAAAUGCUUAGAUAUCAUGAAGAACUCCGAGCGCGAAGGCAGGUGUCCGGCGUGCAACUGACGCUGAGGCUCGAAAGUGCGGGUAUCGAACAGGAUUAGAUACCCCAGUAGUC
rnacentral:rRNA from 1 species